rnacentral:snRNA from 1 species
AGAAUUCACCAAGUGUUGG